AAAUUCCUUGUCGGGUAAGUUCCGACCCGCACGAAAGGCUUAACGACUUGGCGACUGUCUCAAGGAGGGACUCGGCGAAAUUGCAGUGGCCGUGAAGAUGCGGCCAACCUACACCAGGACAAAAAGACCCCGUGGAGCUUUACUGCAGCUUGGCAUUGAUUCAGUUUUUAGGACUGUAUAGGAUAGGUGGGAGUCAAGUACCAUACGGUACCUGACAACAGUGUAAUACCACUCUUCUUGAUGAUUGAAUCUAUCACCGUAUUUCCUAAUAAAAAACAGGAUGCGGGACAGUGUCUGGUGGGCAGUUUGACUGGGGCGGUCGCCUCCAAAAGAGUAACGGAGGCGUACAAAGGUCGGCUCAACUCCUAUAGAAACGGAGCAUUAGAGCGUAAUGGCAUAAGCCGGCUUGACUGCGAGUGGUACAUCACAAGCAGGUGCGAAAGCAGGUCAUAGUGAUCCUCACAUGGCUCGUGGGAGCGUGUGAGCUUAACGGAUAAAAGCUACCCCGGGGAUAACAGGCUUAUCUUCCCCAAGAGUCCAUAUCGACGGGAAGGUUUGGCACCUCGAUGUCGGCUCGUCGUAUCCUCCUGCUGAAGUAGGCGGGAAGGGUUGGGCUGUUCGCCCAUUAAAACGGCACGCGAGCUGGGUUCAGAACGUAAGUUACAUUGCGUUCUACCACAGUAAUGUGGUACAACAAAUCCAACUAAAAUCGGAGAAACCCUAAUUGAGUUAACCGAACACUCAAAAGGGCAACACCGAGGAUAAGACAAGAGGUAUGUGACAAAAGAAGAUAUAGCGUAUAUUGCUGGUUUUUUAGAUGGUGAUGGAUGCAUUAUGCUCCAACUGGUAUAUCGACAUGAUUAUGUGUUGGGUUAUCAGAUACGAGCAAGCAUUGUUUUCUAUCAAAAACAGCAGUAUAUUGAUUUUUUGGCAGAGUUAAAAGAGCAACUAGGCUAUGGUUAUAUCCGGAAACGGAAUGAUGGCAUGGCAGAAUACACAAUUGUUGGUGUUACACCAGUUCAAGAAGUGUUGUUGUUACUUUUACCUUACAUAAAACUUAAGAAGAAACAAGCAGAACUUUCUUUAAGAGUUCUAGAAAAAAUGCCAGGGACUGGAAAUAAAAUUAGUCCAAAACUUCUUUUAAAACUUGCGCAAGAAGUAGAUAAGUUCGCUUUUCUGAAUUAUUCAAAAAGGAGGACAAAUACUUCCUCUGUCGUAAGCGAAUUUUUAAAAUCACAUAACCUUUUGGAUUCCGUAGAGACUGAUUCCCAGGUUCGCAGUAACACGCGAACGUAAGAUGAGAUCUUCUGAUUACAUAAUCAGAAGAUCAAAUGUUGGCUCCUCAAUUAGUAUACGUUUAGAUUGAGGAUGAAGAUAUAGUCCAUGCUACCAGUAAUGGUAGACAAGCCUUUUAUCGCCAAGUGGCGAUUCAGGGUAAACAUGCGUGAGACAGUUCGGCCUCUAUCCGGUGUAGGCGUUUGAUAUCUGAGGGGGGUCACCACUAGUACGAGAGGACCGUGGUGAGCUAGCCUCUAGUGUGCCAGUUGUCACAUCAGUGGCAGUGCUGGGUAGCUACGCUGGUAACUGAGAAGCGCUGAAAGCAUCUAAGCGCCAAACAGGCCCCAAGACUAGAUAUCGUAAGACCCGUCGUAGACUACGACGUU
rnacentral:rRNA from 1 species